UUUAAUUAAAAAUUUAAUUAAGAUUAAUUGUACCUUUUGCAUCAUGAUUAAAUGAUUAUUUUUCUAAUAUUAGUUUAUUCGAAAUUAUGUGAUCUUAUAUUGGUAUACAUAUUAUUUGGGUAAUGUGGUAUAAGAAGCCAUUAUAAGAAGUGAUAAGUUAUACGUACAUAAUUAUAUCUAACUAGAGGUUAUUUUAACAGUAUUAUUUCAUUAUAAUAUUGUAGUUUAUUUGCUUUAUGUUUAUUUAAUAAUUUUGGAUUAAUAUUAUCCUUAAUCUUGUUAUAAAGUAAUAUAAUUUAUACUACAGCAAUUGUUCAGUACCUCUCUCAAUAUAACUAUUUAAUUAGAUUAUGUUAUAAAUAAGUAUAUAAAUAAUAAUAAUUUUUCUCGUAAUAAUCCGAACUGUUUAUUAAAAACAUUUCCUAUUGUAAAGUUUUAUAGGUAACCCCUGCUCAUCGUUAUAAAUAUUUUAUAACAAGAAGCCGCAGUAUUUUGACUGUGCUAAGGUAGCAUAAUUAAUUGCCUUCUAAAUAGAGGAUUGUCUGAAUGGGGAUAAUUGGGUUUAAUUUAAGAUUAUUAUUAUAAGAAAUUAGUUUGUAGUUGCAGAACACUACUUUAUUUUAUAAGACGGAAAGACCCUAAGAGCUUAAUUUCUUUUAUUUUGGGCAAAGCUAUAAGUUUAAAUAGUUUAUAAACCUAUUGGGGAAAAAAUAAAGUUACCUUAGGGAUAACAGGGUUAGAUGUAUUUAGAGUUCUUAUCAAUGUGCAUAAUUGCCACCUCGAUGUUGACUUAAAUUUACUUUAUUGUGUAGAAGCUUUAUAAGUAAGCCUGUUCGGCUUUUAAAAUUUUUCAUGAGUUGAGUUAAGACCGGUGUAAGCCAGGUCGGUUCUUAUCUAUAAGUGGUCUACUAUAGUACGAAAGGAUUUAGUAGUAAAUAAGUUAUUUAUAUUAUAG
rnacentral:rRNA from 1 species